UACGAAGGGGGCUAGCGUUGUUCGGAGUUACUGGGCAUAAAGCGCAUGUAGGCGGGUCGUUAAGUCGGGGGUGAAAGCCCAGAGCUCAACUCUGGAACUGCCUUCGAUACUGGCGACCUGGACCCAAGGAGAGGCGAGUGGAAUUGCGAGUGUAGAGGUGAAAUUCGUAGAUAUUCGCAGGAACACCAGUGGCGAAGGGGACUCGCUGGACUUGUGGUGACGCUGAGAUGCGAAAGCGUGGGGAGCAAACAGG
rnacentral:rRNA from 1 species